rnacentral:rRNA from 1 species
UACGUAGGGGGCAAGCGUUGUCCGGAUUUAUUGGGCGUAAAGAGCGUGUAGGCGGCCAGGUAGGUCGGUUGUGAAAACUGGAGGCUUAACCUCCAGACGUCGACCGAAACCAUCUGGCUAGAGUGCCGGAGAGGGUGGUGGAAUUCCUGGUGUAGAGGUGAAAUUCGUAGAUAUCAGGAGGAACACCGGUGGCGAAGGCGGCCAACUGGACCGACAUUGACGCUGAGGCGCGAAAGCGUGGGGAGCAAACAGG